UGAGCCACAGGGAAGAAGAAGUUUGUAAGUUCCAGAAAUAGUCUUAGGGAGAAGAAAGGAAAUGCUGAGUGUUGGCUACUUGGCAAAGGCUGCGCGUCUGCUGCCGCUGUGGAAAAUGCCUGGGAGGCACCAUUAACCAUUGCUCUUUGCUACGGGCUGGCUUGUGUCCACACCACUAAGGACCAGCACUCUCUCAAGGGCAGUGGUUACCUUCAUGCUGUGCAGCACUUGGCCUGGGUCUCCUCUGAGCUGUCUGCAGAGCCCCACAGACCCCAGGAUUGGCAGCAGGUCCCUCGCUGGUCACUGUCACAGGCAUCAGUCUGGAGGCAACUCUAGCACUGCUUCUUCAGCCACCAUGAACCCCUCGAGCUUUGUCAGAUGA
rnacentral:lncRNA from 12 species